CUGCCAAUCAGCUCGUAGGGCAAACGCACUUCCGGUUGGGUCGUGUAGUCCAGCGGCACGAGCUGCGGCGCUAAAUCACGGUAUCGAUGAAAGAGCCUGAGCAAAGACGACAAACAUUCAACCACGACAUCUGUCACGUGCAGUCCUACGAAAAUGCAACGCAAAAACAGGCAAGGAUUUACUAAGCAGCAUUUCUGCUCCGGAAACUACCUUCUUGCAAAUGCUUUACAAUUACGAGAUGAAAAUGUCCAGUCCGGGUUUGUGGCGGUCAGUGACAGCCGCAGCUGCCGGCCACCAUAUCAUCAUACUGCUUCAGAACCACGUUCUCAUCGUCGUCGAAGUACAGCAGGUUAAUGCUGAAGAGCUUGUCCGGCACGCAGCAG